rnacentral:rRNA from 1 species
UACGUAGGGGGCUAGCGUUGUCCGGAAUCAUUGGGCGUAAAGCGCGCGUAGGCGGCCAGAUAAGUCCGGUGUGAAAGUCACAGGCUCAACCUGUGAAUGCCGCUGGAAACUGUCUGGCUAGAGUCCGGAAGGGGCGAGUGGAAUUCCUGGUGUAGCGGUGAAAUGCGCAGAUAUCAGGAGGAACACCGGUGGCGAAGGCGGGUCUCUGGGCCGAUAUUGACGCUGAGGAGCGAAAGCGUGGGGAGCGAACAGG